AAUAGAUACCCCGGUAGUCCACCCCGUAAACGUUGGGACUAGUUGUGGGGUCCUUUCCACGGAUUCCGUGACGCAGCUAACGCGUUAAGUUCCCCGCCUGGGGAGUACGGCCGCAAGGCUAAAACUCAAAGGAAUUGACGGGGACCCGCACAAGCGGCGGAGCAUGCGGAUUAAUUCGAUGCAACGCGAAGAACCUUACCAAGGCUUGACAUACACCAGAACACCCUAGAAAUAGGGGACUCUUUGGACACUGGUGAACAGGUGGUGCAUGGUUGUCGUCAGCUCGUGUCGUGAGAUGUUGGGUUAAGUCCCGCAACGAGCGCAACCCCUAUCGUGUGUUGUAUCACUCACACGAGACUGCCGAGAGAAACUCGGAGGAAGGCGGGGAUGACGUCAAGUCAGCAUGGCCCUUACGUCCUGGGCUACACCCACGCUACAAUGGCCGGUACAACGGGCUGCGAAACCGCGAGGUGGAGCUAAUCCCUUAAAGCCGGUCUCAGUUCGGAUUGUAGGCUGCAACUCGCCUACAUGAAGCCGGAGUUGCUAGUAACCGCCGGUC
rnacentral:rRNA from 1 species